rnacentral:rRNA from 1 species
AUUGAACGCUGGCGGCAUGCCUUACACAUGCAAGUCGAACGGUAACAGGUCUUCAGAUGCUGACGAGUGGCGAACGGGUGAGUAAUACAUCGGAACGUGCCCGAUCGUGGGGGAUAACGAGGCGAAAGCUUUGCUAAUACCGCAUACGAUCUACGGAUGAAAGCGGGGGAUCUUCGGACCUCGCGCGGACGGAGCGGCCGAUGGCAGAUUAGGUAGUUGGUGGGAUAAAAGCUUACCAAGCCGACGAUCUGUAGCUGGUCUGAGAGGAUGAUCAGCCACACUGGGACUGAGACACGGCCCAGACUCCUACGGGAGGCAGCAGUGGGGAAUUUUGGACAAUGGGCGAAAGCCUGAUCCAGCCAUGCCGCGUGCAGGAUGAAGGCCUUCGGGUUGUAAACUGCUUUUGUACGGAACGAAAAGUCUCUUUCUAAUAAAGAGGGGUCAUGACGGUACCGUAAGAAUAAGCACCGGCUAACUACGUG